GAUGAACGCUGGCGGCGUGCCUAAUACAUGCAAGUCGAGCGAACAGACGAGGAGCUUGCUCCUCUGACGUUAGCGGCGGACGGGUGAGUAACACGUGGAUAACCUACCUAUAAGACUGGGAUAACUUCGGGAAACCGGAGCUAAUACCGGAUAAUAUAUUGAACCGCAUGGUUCAAUAGUGAAAGACGGUUUUGCUGUCACUUAUAGAUGGAUCCGCGCCGCAUUAGCUAGUUGGUAAGGUAACGGCUUACCAAGGCGACGAUGCGUAGCCGAACUGAGAGGGUGAUCGGCCACACUGGAACUGAGACACGGUCCAGACUCCUACGAGAGGGAGCAGUAGGGAAUCUUCCGCAAUGGGCGAAAGCCUGACGGAGCAACGCCGCGUGAGUGAUGAAGGUCUUCGGAUCGUAAAACUCUGUUAUUAGGGAAGAACAAAUGUGUAAGUAACUAUGCACGUCUUGACGGUACCUAAUCAGAAAGCCACGGCUAACUACGUG
rnacentral:rRNA from 1 species